UAGGGCUCCAAAGGAGCCACAAUAGACUGUGUUUUCUUUUUCAGAUCUCUGUGUGUUUUGGAAGCAAGAGUUAAAAGUAAUCAAAACUCUGGUAAAAGUUAAUUGUGUUCCUUUUAAGACAGAGUCUCAGAGCUCUGCUAAUGGUUUUGAAUCCAAAAGCCAAGCCUGUGUGGAUGCAAAUUAUCUAACUGAUAAAGGAAGUGAGAGAACUGCCAGCACAAAGAGGUUGCAGAUAAAGAACAUACCUGAAAAAGCUAAUAUCAGCUACAGGACAACCUAAUAAGAAACAAAUAAAAGUGGGUAUGCUUAUCCAUGCCUGUUGCUCCAAAGCCCUGUAGUAAAGACAUCUCACUAGGAUCCUGUUUGUGGGAUAAAAUGAAUAAUGAGACCAAAGUACUGUAUAAUGGGCUAUGUGUAUGUGUUAAUUCUUGGGGGGGGGGGAAGUGUUAAGUGUUAGCAACCUUCCAAUAGACAAAUGUAAAUGUAAUGUAAGUAAUGUGUUUACAAAAGGUAAAAAGGUAACAUAGUUCCUAAAACAAAC